CGACAACGGCAGGAUUCGAACCUGCGCCCGCGAACGGAAUUGCUAUCUGGAAUUUGCUUCGAGGCAAUCGCCUUAACCACUCGGCCACGUUGCC
rnacentral:tRNA from 4 species